UUGAAUUGAAGAGUUUGAUCAUGGCUCAGAUUGAACGCUGGCGGCAGGCUUAACACAUGCAAGUCGAACGGUAGCAGGAGAAAGCUUGCUUUCUUGCUGACGAGUGGCGGACGGGUGAGUAAUGCUUGGGAAUCUGGCUUAUGGAGGGGGAUAACUACUGGAAACGGUAGCUAAUACCGCGUAAU
rnacentral:rRNA from 1 species